rnacentral:rRNA from 1 species
CCUACGGGAGACUGCAGUGGGGAAUAUUGCACAAUGGGCGAAACCCUGAUGCAGCGACGCCGCGUGAGUGAAGAAGUAUUUCGGUAUGUAAAGCUCUAUCAGCAGGGAAGAAAAUGACGGUACCUGAUUAAGAAGCCCCGGCUAACUACGUGCCAGCCGCCGCGGUACGACGUAGGGGGCAAGCGUUAUCCGGAUUUACUGGGUGUAAAGGGAGCGUAGACGGCAGCGCAAGUCUGAAGUGAAAUGCCGGGGCUUAACCCCGGAACUGCUUUGGAGACUGGGCAGCUAGAGUGCAGGAGAGGUAAGUGGAAUGCCUAGUGUAGCGGUGAAAUGCGUAGAUAUUAGGCGGAACACCAGUGGCGAAGGCGGCUUACUGGACUGUAACUGACGUUGAGGCUCGAAAGCGUGGGGAGCAAACAGGAUGAGAUACCCCUGUAGUC